CAUUCUUAGGUCUUAGGUAGAGAAGUACUUAAUGAAAAGGGUGUUUUAGAAAAAUGAAUGUGGUGGUCUACCAGAUAAGGAAAGAAAAAAGGGGAAAGUGAGACAAAGGAAGUCAGUUAAGAAGCCUUUAUGAUCUUGCUAUUAUUGUAAGGUGGCAAAUAUUUGAAACAGGGUGGUAGCAAUGAGAACAUAAAUGGAUAAAUGUGAGAAUCCUUUGAAAACAAGAGUUGACAGAACAGAGAGAUUCAAUAUGAUGAUCGUGUUUGCUAUUCUCGGUAUUGUAGUUAUGAUCAUUAGAAAGAUGCUACAUUAGGAGUGAGAGAAGAAAAUAAUCUUGCAUUUGAAUAACUUGGAGAGCCUAAGGAAGAUUAUAUCAUGAUCAUCUUUUUCUUCAUUCUCCUCAUUGCUGACACAUAUAACAGCUUCAGAUUUGCACAACGCUUCCCAUUUGUUUCCCAGCAACCCAUGACAUAAGUAUUAUUAUCAUUUUGCAGAUGAGGAAACUGAGACUGAUAGAAGUUUGAGUUGUCCGGAGUCAUACAGCUAAGUGUCAGGUGAAGAAUUCCAAGCAAAUUUAAGGUUAAAUGAGAACAAACCUGGGGAGAAAGAUUGUUGAAGAUGUUGUGAACAUGGAAGACAUCCUUGGGAAGUAGAAAAGAUGCUCACAGGCUGAGAAACUGCUCUGGUUCCCACUUUGGAUAAAAGCAAAACAUCCCAGUUUUAACAACUUUCAAGAAUGUGGAUGAUUUAGAAGAAGAAGAAUGAUCAGCAUGAAGAACAGAGAGUUCUGAAAUCUUAAGACAAGUCCUGAAAUGAAAGGUAUCAAUAUGGAAGGGAAAACACAAUAAGCUUUUCAUUGACAUUUUUGGAAGAAUUAUGGAGAAAUAUGCGUUCUGACAACAUCAUUAUGGGACUUCUAACCAAUGAAGGUUGCCUUGUUAGAAUAAAGAGUCUUGAGAAGAGUUGUUUGCAAUUAUUUCUACAAAUAUUUUUUCUUCUUAUUGUCUUUCACAUUGAAAUAUUCAGGAAACAGCUCACUGGAAA